AUUGAACGCUGGCGGCAGGCCUAACACAUGCAAGUCGAACGAGUGGCGGCCGGGUGAGUAAUGUCUGGGAAACUGCCUGAUGGAGGGGGUUAACUACUGGAAACGGUAGCUAAUACCGCAUACCAUCGGAUGUGCCCAGAUGGGAUUAGCUAGUAGGUGGGGUAACGGCUCACCUAGGCGACGAUCCCUAGCUGGUCUGAGAGGAUGAACAGCAAAACUGGGACUGAGACACGGCCCAGACUCCUACGUGAGGCAGCAGUGGGGAAUGUUGGACAAUGGGCGCAAGCCUGAUCCAGCCAUGCCGCGGGUCUGAAGAAGGCCUUCGGGUUGUAAAGGACUUUUGUCAGGGAAGCGGUACCUGAAGAAUAAGCACCGGCUAACUACGUGCCAGCAGCCGCGGUAAUUC
rnacentral:rRNA from 1 species